UGAACGACACUGCUUCAUUCCUUGGC
rnacentral:piRNA from 1 species